UCGUAUCUAUUGUACCGUAUUCUUCUUCUAUUUGGAAUAAAGAGAGAUCACACGACGAUAUUGGGCUUAUCAAGGAUUUAAGUGUGUGCAUUAGCAAGGACGGAGUAUCUAUUGUGCUAUAUCGGGCCAACAAAAUAUCGGUACGAUAUAGUUUCCGUAUCGAUGACACAACUCAAUAUCCUCUUUUCUUUAAAUUAAUAAGCAAUUUUUAAAAUUAAGUUCAAAAAAUUUGAUAAAGAUGCAUAACAAGCAAUUAAAAUAUUUUAUUGGUAAAAAAAUAAAUAUUUCAUAUUAUUAUAUAUCGACAUACAUGUAACUUUGUGAUUAGCACAUAUCAGCACAACUCGGUACGCAUCGUACUGUACAGUGUCAGCAAGUUUUCGGUACGAUUUCGUGCCACGACACUU
rnacentral:lncRNA from 1 species